GCUUAAAAUCCAAAGGACUUGACGGUGUCCCACCCCCCUAGAGGAGCCUGUUCUAUAAUCGAUGAUCCCCGCUUUACCUCACCACUCCUCGCCUACGCAGCCUGUAUACCUCCGUCGCAAGCUUGCCAUAUGAAUGAAUAAGAGCAGGCUCAAUGACACACCCGCCAACACGUCAGGUCAAGGUGCAGCCCAUGGAGUGGCAAGCAAUGGGCUACAAUUUCUAAUCUAGAACAUACGAACAACCAUCUGAAAUUAUGGUCACGAAGGUGGAUUUAGCAGUAAGAGGGGAUGAUAGUGCCCCCCUUAAUAGCGGCCCUGGGACGCGUACAAACCGCCCGUCACCCUCUUCAACAGCUUUUUAAAUAGUUAAUAACCCCCCACCUGCGCUUCAGAAGAGGCAAGUCGUAACACGGUAAGCGUACUGGAAAGUGUGCUUGGAUAAACAAAAUAUAGCUUAGAAAAGCCCCCCGCUUACACCGGGAAGUCAUCCGUUAAACCCAGAUUAUUUUGAGCCCCAAUUCUA
rnacentral:rRNA from 1 species